rnacentral:rRNA from 1 species
GAUGAACGCUGGCGGCGUGCCUAAUACAUGCAAGUCGAGCGAACAGACGAGGAGCUUGCUCCUCUGUCGUUUGCGGCGGACGGGUGAGUAACACGUGUAUCACCUACCUAUAAUACUGGGAUAACUUCGGGAAACCGGCUCUAAUACCAUAGAAUAUAUUGCACCGCGUUGGUGAAUAGUGAAAUACGGUUUUUCUGUCACUUAUAGCUGGAUCCGCGCUGCAUUAGCUAGUUGGUAAGGUAACAGCUUACCAAGGCAAGGAGGCGUGGCCGACCUGAGAGGGUGAUCGGCCACACUGGAACUGAGACACGGUCCAUACUCCUACGGGAGGCAGCAGUAGGGAAUCGUCCGCAAUGGGCGAAAGCUUGACGGAGCAAGGCGGCGUGAGUGAUGAAGGUCUUCGGAUCGUAAAACUCUGUUAUUAGGGAAGAACAGAUGUGUAAGUAACUGUGCACGGAUUGACGGUACCUAAUAAGAAAGCCACGGCUAACUACGUG